UUUUUGGUGUAUAGAAAUGGUACUGAUUUUUGUAUGCUAAUUUCAUGUACUGCAGCUUUGCUGAAGUCAUUCAUUAGAUCUAACAGUUUUGCCAGAUGGUUAAGUCUGGAGCUGGAUGAUGAGCAACCACUGACAAAAUCAGUUCUUCUCGGCAUUGUAGGAAACAACCACUGGAAUCCCUAAUCAGAUUUGUUGCUCAGCCCUCCACUCCCACUACAAAAUCAGUUAAAGUUAGCAGCAUUCUUUCUCUGUCCCCUGCUUCUUUGGUACACACGCUAUCCAUUAGAAAGCAAGGGAAAAUUUUCCCUAUAAGUUCUCUUAUGGGCUGAUUCCUAACAGAAAAUAGGAUGCAAGUUUCUUGCAUUCACCUAUUUUGCUCUUACUGUGUGAUCCCCAGUCUGCAACACCCUUCUUCUAGCUCCAAGUCUGUCUUUUUCUGGUAUUAAACCAUUGGUCAGUAGCUUAUUGGCUUUCCUUGUCUGUAAGUUUUUUUACACAAAAGACUCCACAAAGCCUGGCUCAUUUGUCCACCCCAAAGUGGAUAAAAAUGGGCAACUGAGAAGACCACAUAACCACCAAGAAAUGAGCAGAGUAUAGUAGCAUCAUUCCUGUUAGCCUUAGAGGAGAGUUUUAGGGAUGCCAUAUAUUGACAUCUUAUUAGGAGAGGUGUCCAAAAUACUUAGUAAAAUUGUAUUAAGCUUCUUUGGUUGAACAUCUACUCAAAAGGAAAUAUCUGCACUUUAGCUGAAGUAUCUUAAAAGCAUACGACUCUCCAAUAUCCUACUCCAGAUCUAAGUGAAUCUAGCAGUGAAACCAUACUUUGUGGAAAAGUGCCUCUUCCACAACAGCUGAGAAACAACUAAGAGCCUUCAACCAAGAGCCUGCAUAAGUUCAUGCAUAAUGAUUUAGUUGGUUGGUACACUUUCUGGGUCCUGACUACUAAGUUCCAAGAACAAAGUGACUUGCUACUUUUGUCUCCAGGAAUCGUCUAGUUGGGUAGUCUUGUUGUGUCUAGAGGCCAUGAGCUUCACUUUGGCCGUGUCUUAUUAGACAGUCCUGGGCCAAGAACUAUGCAGAUCAUCCAGGGUAAUCUAUCUCAAGAUUCUAAACUUAGCUACAUAUGCAAAGUCUGUUUUGUCUGUUAAGGUAAUUUAUUCACAGUUUCUAGAGAUUAGAACAUGAACAGAUUUGAGUGCCUACCACACAAACACUAUCUGCUAAAGGGUAAAUACAACUCAGUCAAAAUGUUCUUUGUUUUCCGAUCAUUUGUAAUGUACAUUGUUGGAGAUCAAAAUUGAUUUCAAAAAGGUAACCAAAUCAUAUAUCGGUAAUGCCACUUUGAUGGAGUUCAAAAAUUUCAUGUAUUUUAAAUAUUCUGAAAUUAAUUCUCAGCAGUUGAGUGUCUACCUUCAGUUCAGGGCGUGAUCCCAGAAUCCGGACUGAGUCUCAUACCGAAUUCCCUGCGGGGAGCCUGCUUCUCCCUCUGCCUGUGUCUCUGCUCUCUCUCUCUCUCUCUUAUGAAUAAAUAAAUAAACUUUUUGAAAAAUAAUGAUAAGGGGCAGCCCAGGUGGCUCAGCCGUUGAGCAUCUGCCUUGGG
rnacentral:lncRNA from 1 species